rnacentral:rRNA from 1 species
ACUCCUACGGGAGGCAGCAGUGAGGAAUAUUGGUCAAUGGGCGAAAGCCUGAACCAGCCAUGCCGCGUGCAGGAAGACGGCCCUAUGGGUUGUAAACUGCUUUUGCGCAGGAAGAAUAACCCCCUCGUGAGGGGGGACGACGGUACUGCGCGAAUAAGGAUCGGCUAACUCCGUGCCAGCAGCCGCGGUAAUACGGUGGAUCCGAGCGUUAUCCGGAUUUACUGGGUUUAAAGGGUGCGUAGGCUGGCGCUUAAGUCAGCGGUGAAAGGCAGCGGCUCAACCGUUGGAUUGCCGUUGAAACUGGGCGCCUUGGAUUCGGUCGAGGUUGGCGGAAUGCGUGGUGUAGCGGUGAAAUGCUUAGAUAUCACGCGGAACGCCGAUUGCGAAGGCAGCUGACCAGACCUGAAUCGACGCUGAGGCACGAAAGCGUGGGGAUCAAACAGGAUUAGAUACCCUGGUAGUC